CUAAUUAGUACCGUUCUUCAAUCUGGAGCAAAUUUUCGGAGAAUCACCAAAUUAGACACAUUGCAGUUUCAUCCAACUAUUGACAAAAUAGUAUCUUACCUUGAAGAAUGGACAACCGAAAAACAUUCUAUUAGGGUUAGUUACUGUUCUAGACUUGUAAAGAAUGGCAUAUACGCCAUAGAAGCACUUUGGUGCAAUCCCAUCUCGAUCACAUCCUCUUGGCAUGGCGCAUGAAGAUCCUGCUCCAGGUCUUGUGCAUGAAGAAUCUCCUUCACUCGUCAUGGACGAUCGCACUAUCAACGGUAAUGGGUUCGAAUAGGGCUCAGUGAUGGCAACGACGUCGUUUUGGGGGCAUAAGGACCAAUUUGUCCAUUAACAAUUUAUUCCCCAUCCACAUCAACAGCCAAAACGGAUAGCUCAGUUUCCACCCUUCCAGAUCAGCAUUCUCCGUUGCCGUUUUGAGCCCCAACUUGACGGAGGGGUAUAAUUGUUACGCAUUUUAUAAAGUAAAAAAUUUAAAUGUAUUUUUCAAUCCUGAGGGACGAAAAUGUCGGCUUCUAAAAAUGUCAAAAACCUAUUUGUCUUUUACUCUAAAAUAUUCUAUAUAGUAUUCCCUGCUUUACUAUCACAUUACCUUUUGACAUCUACUUCAUUUAAUAAGAGGUUAAUAUGAAAAUGAGAUUAAAUAAAAGUUAAACACCAAGAAUAUUGUGAUAAUUUCACACUUGUUCUCCUUGAAUAAAAUUCUAAUCUGAUGAUCCAUUGAUCAUUUUUGCAUUCCUCUGUUUAGUUAUGAGUGUAUGACUUGUGCCAUUAUACAUGUACAAACUUUUGUGCAAAACAAUUAAAAUCAACCACAAUAUAGUUAGUUAACUAUUUAAAUUAGCUCUGUGGAAGCUCAAUUUAUGCGUAACUCCUAUAAAAAUAAUGAUAACUUCCAUUACUCUAUUCAUCACAGCAAGGGGGAAGAGUAGAAGAUGAACAAGAGAAAGAAAACCACACAUGGAAUUCAGUUCAACCAUGCUCAUAAGUACAGCCACUACAAGCUCUACAUGCCACAUUCAACUGUCACUAAAACAGAGAUCAUAACUCAGACAAAGAUAUACAUUGACAGAU